UACGGACACAUCAGGUUGAAACACUGGUGUCCGUACGAUCACUGAAGUUAAGCAACGUCGAACCUGGUGAGUACCUAGAUGGUUGACCGUUUGGGAAUACCGGGUGCUGUGA